UACGUAGGGUGCAAGCGUUAAUCGGAAUUACUGGGCGUAAAGCGCGCGCAGGCGGUUAUUUAAGUCUUAUGUUUAAACCUGGGGCUCAACCUCGGGACGCAUGGGAAACUGGGUAACUUGAGUGUAGGAGAGGAAAGUGGAAUUCCACGUGUAGCGGUGAAAUGCGUAGAGAUGUGGAGGAACACCAGUGGCGAAGGCGACUUUCUGGCCUAUAACUGACGCUGAGGCGCGAAAGCGUGGGGAGCAAACAGG
rnacentral:rRNA from 1 species